GGUGAGUUAGAGCAGCUCGGUCAGCUUGCCAGGCUCAUAACCUGGAGGACAUAGGUUCAAAUCCUAUACUCACCA
rnacentral:tRNA from 1 species